UACGAAGGGGGCUAGCGUUGUUCGGAAUUACUGGGCGUAAAGCGCGCGCAGGCGGCUAUCCAAGUCAGUGGUGAAAGCCCGGAGCUCAACUCCGGAACUGCCAUUGAAACUGUUUAGCUUGAGGACGAGAGAGGUGAGUGGAAUUCCCAGUGUAGAGGUGAAAUUCGUAGAUAUUCGCAGGAAUACCAGUGGCGAAGGCGGCUUACUGGUCCAUAACUGACGCUGAGGUGCGAAAGCGUGAGGAGCAAACAGG
rnacentral:rRNA from 1 species